GAAAUACCAACGAACUAGAAUAAUAUAUUACUAAGACGUGACAUCGUGGCCCAUUUAAUCCACGAAUGUUCCAACCCGCACGGAAUAACUCGGACCACUCGGAGCGAAACAAUAACCAUCACAACCUCAAGUCUCGGAUAAGAGACGACAUAAUAAUAACUAGCAGCAGGCUUCGUCGCCUCCACCACAUAACAUCGACUGUUUAGUCCACCUCCUCAAUCUUGGGGCCGGGGCCGCCGGACGCAGCUGGGGUGUCGUCGUCCAUGCCGCCCUCCAUGUCAGCACCAGCACCCUGGUACAUCUUGGCGAUGAUGGGGUUGCACAGGGCCUCCAGCUCCUUCAUCUUGUCCUCGAACUCGUC
rnacentral:lncRNA from 1 species